rnacentral:rRNA from 1 species
CUACGGGCUGCUCCAGUGGGGAAUAUUGCACAAUGGGCGCAAGCCUGAUGCAGCCAUGCCGCGUGUAUGAAGAAGGCCUUCGGGUUGUAAAGUACUUUCAGCGGGGAGGAAGGGAGUAAAGUUAAUACCUUUGCUCAUUGACGUUACCCGCAGAAGAAGCACCGGCUAACUCCGUGCCAGCAGCCGCGGUAAUACGGAGGGUGCAAGCGUUAAUCGGAAUUACUGGGCGUAAAGCGCACGCAGGCGGUUUGUUAAGUCAGAUGUGAAAUCCCCGGGCUCAACCUGGGAACUGCAUCUGAUACUGGCAAGCUUGAGUCUCGUAGAGGGGGGUAGAAUUCCAGGUGUAGCGGUGAAAUGCGUAGAGAUCUGGAGGAAUACCGGUGGCGAAGGCGGCCCCCUGGACGAAGACUGACGCUCAGGUGCGAAAGCGUGGGGAGCAAACAGGAUUAGAUACCCCAGUAGUC